GACGUAGGUGGCGAACGUUAUCCGGAAUUAUUGGGCGUAAAGAGCGUGUAGGCGGCUUGACAGGUCUGCUGUGAAAACUCGAGGCUCAACCUCGAGAUGUCGGCGGAAACCGUCUGGCUAGAGUCCGGAAGAGGAGAGUGGAAUUCCUGGUGUAGCGGUGAAAUGCGCAGAUAUCAGGAAGAACACCUAUGGCGAAGGCAGCUCUCUGGGUCGGUACUGACGCUGAGACGCGAAAGCGUGGGGAGCGAACAGG
rnacentral:rRNA from 1 species